rnacentral:misc_RNA from 1 species
GUGAAUUUUAGGGUGCUCUACUUCGCGUAGAGGCCUGACCUCCACUCUCCAACACUGUGCACUUAAUGGCCUUUGAAGAAUUUGAAGUAUGCAAGUACGAAUAAGACUUUAGAGGCGGCUUCAUUUUAAACACUAGUUAAAGAAUGUAACCAAAAAACAAAACUAAAA